GAGUAGAAAAGACAUAAACAUAGAGAAGAAGCAAAACCCAAACCAUAAACACCCAUAAAGCUCAGCUCUUUAAAGCAUUUGAAGACUCUGAGCUACUAAUCUCUGGUACCCUUCAAUCCUUGGUCAAAAGAUGAGGACUUUUCUUUAGUUUUUAGCUUAGUUUUCUUUGCAUAAUUGUGGUUGUUAUUCCUCUGCGGUCUGUGUUUGAUUGGUGGGUUCUUCAUCUCUCUGGAAUAAAGCAGAAGGAAGUUCUGCUUCCCUUUGAAUUCUUUGUCAAGAGUUGAAGAGUUUAAUCCUACUUGGGAGUAUGGUGGGAUUUGCAUAUCCUCUUGGUUUUAUGUCCACCAGUGGCUAUGUCAGCCCAACCAAAGAGUUUCACUGGCUGGCUUCUGCCCUUUUUGGCAUGCUUCUCUGCAAAAUUGUGUACAGAUUAACAGGUCUUAUUAGCCUUCAAAGCUUCAAGGGAUAUCAGAUACUGAGCAAUGCAGAGAAAGUUGAAUGGAACAACCGGGGGUUCUCAACUGUUCAUGCUAUUGGUGUAGCGGUUGCAUCUUUUUACCUUAUACUGUUAUCAGAUACAUUUCAUGAGGGCCAUAGUGAUGAGCUGAUCAUUAGUAGAAGAUCUACUUUGUCAGAUACAACAUUGGGGAUCUCCAUUGGUUAUUUUCUAUCAGACAUAGCAAUGAUUUUUUGGCAUUUUCCUGCUUUAGGUGGACUGGAGUAUGUUUUGCACCAUGGUCUAUCUAUGUUCUCAAUCUUCCUUUCUCUUAUAAGUGGUGAAGGGCAGAUUUACAUACUAAUGGUUCUAUUCUCUGAGAUCACGACUCCUUUCGUAAACCUAAGAUGGUACUUGGACAUUGCUGGUAAGAAGAACUCCAACCUGUACGUCUGCAAUGGUGUAGCAUUGUUCCUGGGGUGGCUGGUUGCAAGGAUUCUUUUGUUCAUUUACUUUUUCGUCCAUAUGUUUCUCCAUUUUGAUCAAGUCAAGACAAUUUUCCCGUUGGGAUUCUACAGCUUGCUCUCGAUACCUCCUGUGUUGGCAAUUAUGAAUCUGUUUUGGUUUUGGAAGAUUGCUAAAGGUUUGAUCAAAACUGUUUCAAAGGCCAAACACAAGACCGUACACAGCCAGUGAUCUAGCUAGUAAUUUAAAGAUGGGAAAUUGACAGUGUACAUUCUCAGUUACUUAGUUCAUUCGAGUGAUAUUUGAAUCGGAUGGUACAUAGAUGAGGAAAAUUCACCAACGGUCCCUGAAUUCUUGCGACAUGAUCAGUCCGUUGGUAAAUUUUCCGGUUGAGAGAUUUGGUUUUGCAACUCCAUAGGGACAAAAAGGGAAUGCAUGGAUGUGAGUUUUCCAGGAGGAGAAAAUAAACAUAGAUGUUGAAUCUAUGAAGAAUUCUUAUAUGAGGUGUUCACAUUUGAUUUAUGCCUUUAUGGACUUGGAAACGGGAAAAAACGAGUCUUGAAGAUUUUGAGUUGAAGAGGAGUCGGCUAUUGCAAAGUCAAAAGAGAAAUUUGGAAAUUAAAUACAGUAUCCGAGUGAAAGUAGUGGAAGAAGGAACAUGUCAACAUGGGGAAGAAGGAACAUUACCCUUUGAUAGUUUGAUUUGUAUAAACGUGGUUGUAUCGUAGGUUUUUUUAUUUUUUUACCCUGUUUGUUAAGGAAUAAAAUCAACAAUGCAUGACCUAUCAAAGAAUCAAAUAU